rnacentral:rRNA from 1 species
CAGACAUGCUCCGUGCGUUCAGCCGAAAGGUGUACUCGUACGGUUGCAGGCUAGAGUCUGUUCUUGGGGUCGGAUAAGGGUCUUGGGAAUGUGGCCGGUUCGCCGGUGUGUUAUAGCCCCUUGCUGUAUACACUGGUUGGGAUUGAGGUUUCAGUGCACGCUUCGGUUGUGCUUUGAUGCUGGCGUAAUGGCUUUAAGCGACCCCGUCUUGAAACGCGGACCAAGGAGUCUAACAUAUGUGCGAGUGUUU